CGGUGGCAGCUAGGGAAGCCAUUCGCAAAACAAUUGUUAUUGCGAGAAUGUUUAUUUGGAUUUUUAUUAUUAAAUUAAAAUGGAAAAAAAUAAUGAAGUUUGUUGGACUAUGUAACAAUUAAUUGUUGGCAACAUAGCUCAUGUAUUAAAGUCUUCUGUCACAGUUGACUCAGCGAGAAUGAAGACAUUGAUACACUUUUGCAUUAUGGAAUACACAAGUUGGCAGUUCCUCGUCCACUGCCACCCAAAUACAGGUAUAAAAAAUCCUUAUCUGUACGUAACAGACGAUGGAGACGAAGUGAUUAUUAUGUGUGGCAAAAGAUUAUUUUAUGAAGUUUUUCAUUUUCUGACUUCGUGAUGGAACUUAUUGGAGUACAAUUUUCUUGGACAUA